rnacentral:tRNA from 1 species
UCCCUGGAGGACUAGUGGUUAGGCCACAGUGCUCUCACUGCUGCGGCCCGGGUUCGAUUCCAGGCCAGAGAC